GGGUUGUGAGGUUAAGCGACUAAGCGUACACGGUGGAUGCCCUGGCAGUCAGAGGCGAUGAAGGACGUGCUAAUCUGCGAAAAGCGCCGGCGAGGUGAUAUGAACCCUUGACCCGGCGAUGUCCGAAUGGGGAAACCCAGUGCAAUUCGUUGCACUAUCGUUAACUGAAUACAUAGGUUAACGAGGCGAACCGGGGGAACUGAAACAUCUAAGUACCCCGAGGAAAAGAAAUCAACCGAGAUUCCCCCAGUAGCGGCGAGCGAACGGGGAGCAGCCCGGAGUCUGAAUCAGCUUGUGUGUUAGUGGAACGGUCUGGAAAGUCCGACGGUACAGGGUGAUAGUCCCGUACACGAAAAUGCACAGGUUGUGAACUCGAAGAGUAGGGCGGGACACGUGGUAUCCUGUCUGAAUAUGGGGGGACCAUCCUCCAAGGCUAAAUACUCCUGACUGACCGAUAGUGAACCAGUACCGUGAGGGAAAGGCGAAAAGAACCCCGGCGAGGGGAGUGAAAAAGAACCUGAAACCGUGUACGUACAAGCAGUGGGAGCACCUUCGGGUGUGACUGCGUACCUUUUGUAUAAUGGGUCAGCGACUUAUAUUCUGUAGCAAGGUUAACCGUAUAGGGGAGCCGAAGGGAAACCGAGUCUUAACUGGGCGUUAAGUUGCAGGGUAUAGACCCGAAACCCGGUGAUCUAGCCAUGGGCAGGUUGAAGGUUGGGUAACACUAACUGGAGGACCGAACCGACUAAUGUUGAAAAAUUAGCGGAUGACCUGUGGCUGGGGGUGAAAGGCCAAUCAAACCGGGAGAUAGCUGGUUCUCCCCGAAAGCUAUUUAGGUAGCGCCUCGUGAACUCAUCUUCGGGGGUAGAGCACUGUUUCGGCUAGGGGGCCAUCCCGGCUUACCAACCCGAUGCAAACUACGAAUACCGAAGAAUGUUAUCACGGGAGACACACGGCGGGUGCUAACGUCCGUCGUGAAGAGGGAAACAACCCAGACCGCCAGCUAAGGUCCCAAAGUCAUGGUUAAGUGGGAAACGAUGUGGGAAGGCACAGACAGCCAGGAUGUUGGCUUAGAAGCAGCCAUCAUUUAAAGAAAGCGUAAUAGCUCACUGGUCGAGUCGGCCUGCGCGGAAGAUGUAACGGGGCUAAACCAUGCACCGAAGCUGCGGCAGCGACACUAUGUGUUGUUGGGUAGGGGAGCGUUCUGUAAGCCGUUGAAGGUGUGCUGUGAGGCAUGCUGGAGGUAUCAGAAGUGCGAAUGCUGACAUAAGUAACGAUAAAGCGGGUGAAAAGCCCGCUCGCCGGAAGACCAAGGGUUCCUGUCCAACGUUAAUCGGGGCAGGGUGAGUCGACCCCUAAGGCGAGGCCGAAAGGCGUAGUCGAUGGGAAACAGGUUAAUAUUCCUGUACUUGGUGUUACUGCGAAGGGGGGACGGAGAAGGCUAUGUCAGCCGGGCGACGGUUGUCCCGGUUUAAGCAUGUAGGCGGAGGUUCCAGGUAAAUCCGGUACCUUGUUAACGCUGAGGUGUGAUGACGAGGCACUACGGUGCUGAAGUGAUAAAUGCCCUGCUUCCAGGAAAAGCCUCUAAGCAUCAGGUAACACGAAAUCGUACCCCAAACCGACACAGGUGGUCAGGUAGAGAAUACCAAGGCGCUUGAGAGAACUCGGGUGAAGGAACUAGGCAAAAUGGUGCCGUAACUUCGGGAGAAGGCACGCUGAUA
rnacentral:rRNA from 1 species